UAAUAUUUAAACAAUAAUCUAUUUAUUUGAACAUAACGUAACAUACGUUAAAAAUAAUAUAAUAUUAUUAAUUUGAUAUCUCGAUAGAUUUCAAUUUUGAACUUGAAGUUGUUGCCUGUUUAUAAUGUCAAUAAAAACAAAAGCCGCAAUAACUUUGAUAGUUAUCGAGUCAGUUGUCUUUUACAUUCUGUCGAAUAAACAUAGAAAUAUUGUUUGGAGCAGGAUAUUUAUCGUACGAGGAUUAACAUAUACUCAAUGUAAAUAAAUUUUAUAUCAAACAUUUCUUCAAUAUUUUCUUAUUAUAAUAAUGAUAAUAAUAAUUUUGUUUUUAUUUUUCUGUUGCAAUCAUGCACGAAGCAAUAAAGGAAUCGCAAAGUGGUGUAUCAUUAAAUAAAGAAAAAGUAAUCGCGAACUAAAAGCAUUGUUUCUUCGUUCGCGUUUCGUUGAAUUUAAAAAGCAAGUGUAUUUGAAUCGAUUGCCUGUAAGAUUUAAUCAUUAAAAUCAGUGUUCGCAAUGUUUUUUUUUUUCUUUUUUAACAAUCGUACAGAUUGUAUUAAAUAAAAGAUAAAUUAGUAAAGUCUCGCGAAUUAAAUUCAGUGACCGUCCGUUAAUAAAUAACUACCGCGUAUUAGAAUCAAUGAAUCAGAGAAGAGGAUCUCAACCAACUUCGAUGUCGACCUAUCUCAUUUUCAACCAUCUACGAAUCCAACCACCUUCAAUUUCGACCUAAAUCGCAGACGAGUGUUUUGGAACCAUCGCGGAACUUCUUAAGUAGCUGAAUCAUCGAAGGAUGGAUUUAUCUGCAAUUGAGUGAUUAAGCAACAAGGAUAUCCGAUAUCGACGCGGACAUCCGAUAUUUCGUUUAGAGGCUCGCAAUUUGUAAUCGUGAGAUUACAUAUUUAGACGGAAGCUUACGAAAUCUUUCCGCAUUAUAUAAAGAAAGGAAAUGUCUCCUUUCUUUUGUAAGAAUAGAAUAAAAAGAACAUCCGUGUCCGCGUUAGUGGACACCAGAUGUGGAUAUUCAUGGAUCCGACUAAAUGGACUACCAUGGACUUCGUUUUAUUGUUCGAAAUUCGGUCCUGUUAUUCAUAAGCGAGGACUGAUCCUCUUACAGAUAGCGUUGGUAGCUUGAAUUCUCUAUAAAUGGCAUUGUCAUUCCGAUAUCGUGAAUUUUAGAGUAGAAUCAUCGUCAACCUCAUCGUAGGUCUUCAAAUGCAGCAACCUCCACGUGGUGAGAUUUGGAUCUUUACUAUUUACGAUAUAUCGAAAUCUAAUUUGAAAGCAAAUACUAUCGGGCGAAUGGUUGUACAUUUUCGAUCUAAUUCAACCUAAAGAUCAUUAAAGUAUUAACACUUUACGUUGCUAAUAAUAUUUCAACAGAUAAAUAUAUUAGAUAUGGCAAAAUUCUAAAAUAAUUUCUUAGAGAAACUCAUUGAAAAAUUCGAUUUAUUCCUCACUUGUUCUCAUUUAUACUUAUCAGAUUAAAUACUAUAUCUUCUAUUCUAUUUACGUACGCCAUUAUAUAUGCAUUAAAAUAAUUUCUAUCUAUCGUUGUUAUUAUUAUCUCUUUUAUAUGAUAUCUAUUCUAUCGCGAAUGAUAUCUAACUAAUGGCUACUUAAAUACGUUUUAACUAUUAGUACAAAUAAUUAAAAAGAAAUUCAAAAAUAUAAAAACUUUCUACAAUUAACAAAUACUUUUCUAUUAGUCUAUUUUCAGAAAAUUAUAAUAUAGUAUAUGGUUUUUUCUUGCUUUUAUCAAACGCGCGAUUUCACGUUAAUCCGAUUUUUAAUGGGAGUUAAUAGAGUAUAUAACUUCCACAAGCUUAUACACCGAUAAAACAGAUGCGUAGUGGGGAUGGUAUUUCCCUAUUAUACUUGUAGUUCAUAUUUUGUCCAUAACUGUCGCUAAAGUCACAUAUGCGAUCACAUAUGUCGCUAAAGUCACAUACGAUCGAAAAAGGUGGAGAACUGUUUUAUACUACAUAAAUAUAUCAUAUUUAAAAUGAUAUUUGAAAAAUCCAAUUUCGUAUUUGUUGUAUUACAAUAUGACGUAUACGAUAAUCAAACACAUUAUAAUUUUUUAUUUUCAUAAAUGCAUGAAAACAAAUAAUUACAACGAAAUAAUAAUUAAAUAUAACAUAAAGAAAUAUCAUUUUUAUGACUAAAAUAAAUUUAACAAAAUGUCAGCGAAUAAUGAUUACCAUAAAUUUACAAAUGGAUAAAAUCAACUUGUUUUUUCUUAAACAAAAAGAUAUUAAGGUAAAAAUACAUAAAUUACGUAAAACGAAAUAAUGAUGAUAAUAAUAAUAAUAAUAAUAAUAAUAAUAAUAAUAUAAUAAUAAAGCGUUCGUGUUUUAAUAUAUAUUUUGUCAAUAAUGCUAACGUGAAAACAAAAUUGAAACUUAAUUUAUAGCAUAUGUAUACCAUAAUUUUUAUAUUUAUCCAAUGUAUAUUAUUUUCAUUAUGCGGUAAAAAAUCAAUUUGCUUAAUUGAUGAUAAACUUACUAAGAUUACAUAAGAUAUACUCAGCAUAUGGAAAAGGUUUUAUUACUCUGGUGUGUAUCAAUUAAAUCAUAUUACAUAUAAAUAUGGAGUAAUAGUUCUCAAGCUUAUUUUAUAAGACAAUUAUAAGAGAGAAA